UCUUUAACGACGUGUGGGGCUUAUUCUUCUGCGUUUGGUUCGGCCAAAACGGUUGAUAAACCACUCUGGUUUGUAGGAAACCACUAUGUAUCCCAUCGUGAAUCCAAAUGCAAUACCAGGUAUGAAACCAAUUGCAGCUGCUAUCCAACUUAUCACCUCCUCUUGGCCAUCUUCUUCUUCUUCCUUCGACAAUUCAGACGGUUGUGAUGUUUUCCCGUGAAUAUCUACACAAGCUUGAUUAAGUGAAGGGCCAUAAAGUCCCGGGUUGUCCUUGAAAGAACUGCAUGGCUGCGUUCGAAAUUGAGUGCCCCCUGGCACUAGUCCCACAAGCUGGUUAUGAGAGAAGUUCAUGUAAGCAAGGUAGGAGAGGUUCCCUAGCUCUUGUGGAAUUUCUCCCGUAAGCUUGUUUCUGGAAAGGUCCAGUGACUCGAGAGACGAGAGGUUCCCCACAGACGACGGG
rnacentral:lncRNA from 1 species